CGAUAACUAGAGACAGAAGGAAGAGAGGAGCAGCAAAAGCAGCAGCAGCAGCAUGGUCGCGCCGAGGAAAAUCCAACUGAACUUUAAUGCAGUAGCAGGAGCAGCAGCAGCACAGGAAGAUAUCAGUCUCUCUCUCUCUCUCACUCACUCCUCACACACUCGAUUAUAAGUUCUCUACUGAGAGAGAGAGUGAGAGAAAGAGAGAGAGAGAGGGAGGGAGAUAGAAAGAAAGGAGAGCUUCCCUGUUCCGUGGCCGUCGAUCGUUGCUCUUCGCUGCGUGGUUUGGAGAAGAAGAGACAAAAGGAAGCCUCUCAUAACCCAGGCAAGCUCUCGAUUUCCUCCUAUCUUACGUUCUGAAAGAUCGAGCUCAAGUGUGUGUUGUCAUGCCAGGAGGAAGAAGAAGAAGACGCGAAGACGAAGACGAAGAAGAAGAAGAAAGAAGAAGAAAACAGAGCGCAAAAGAAGAGUCCCGCCAGUGGUAUCACAGCCAGCCGCUCGUGUGGAAUGCGAGCUUCACACUUCCUUUCGUCCAUUCAAAACCAAUACUAUAUAUAUGUAUAUACGGGGCCCGCUACACGUAGAAGGUAUGGAGGCAUCGUAGCCAAAUCGUAUCUCUCUACUGUAGGCAAGCCCAGCGACAGCAACAGCUUGUUCAGUUACUCAGUGUAUAAAAGCGGUGGCAGGA